rnacentral:rRNA from 1 species
GGACCCGCACAAGCGGUGGAGCAUGUGGUUUAAUUCGAUGCAACGCGAAGAACCUUACCUGGUCUUGACAUCCUGCGAACUUUCUAGAAAUAGAUUGGUGCCUUCGGGAACGCAGUGACAGGUGCUGCAUGGCUGUCGUCAGCUCGUGUCGUGAGAUGUUGGGUUAAGUCCCGUAACGAGCGCAACCCCUAUCCUUAUUUGCCAGCACAUCAUGGUGGGAACUAUAAGGAGACUGCCGGUGACAAACCGGAGGAAGGUGGGGGACGACGUCAAGUCAUCAUGGCCCUUACGGCCUGGGCUACACACGUGCUACAAUGGCUAGGACAGACGGCCGCAAACCCGCGAGGGGGAG